rnacentral:rRNA from 1 species
CCUACGGGAGGCAGCAGUAGGGAAUUUUCCACAAUGGGCGAAAGCCUGAUGGAGCAACGCCGCGUGCAGGAUGAAUGCCUUCGGGUUGUAAACUGCUUUUAUAUGUGAAGAUUAUGACGGUAGCAUAUGAAUAAGGAUCGGCUAAUUCCGUGCCAGCAGCCGCGGUAAU